rnacentral:rRNA from 1 species
UACGGAGGGGGCUAGCGUUGUUCGGAAUUACUGGGCGUAAAGCGCACGUAGGCGGCUUUCUAAGUCGGGGGUGAAAUCCUGGAGCUCAACUCCAGAACUGCCUUCGAUACUGGAGAGCUCGAGUCCGAGAGAGGUGAGUGGAACUGCGAGUGUAGAGGUGAAAUUCGUAGAUAUUCGCAAGAACACCAGUGGCGAAGGCGGCUCACUGGCCCGGUACCGACGCUGAGGUGCGAAAGCGUGGGGAGCAAACAGG